rnacentral:pre_miRNA from 7 species
UUUUAUUUCAUACCAGUGUUAAUAUAAAAGAAAACAUGACUAUUGAAAGACCCCCGAAGGGAGACCCUCACUCAAGCCUCGGGAUGUGGCGCGGACCCAAGAGAGACGCAGAGACCG